UACGUAGGGAGCAAGCGUUGUUCGGAUUUACUGGGCGUAAAGGGCGCGUAGGCGGCAAUUCAAGUCAUCUGUGAAAUCUCCGGGCUUAACUCGGAACGGCCAAGUGAAACUGUCAAGCUAGAGUGCAGAAGGGGCAAUCGGAAUUCUUGGUGUAGCGGUGAAAUGCGUAGAUAUCAAGAGGAACACCUGAGGUGAAGACGGGUUGCUGGGCUGACACUGACGCUGAGGCGCGAAAGCCAGGGGAGCAAACGGG
rnacentral:rRNA from 1 species